rnacentral:rRNA from 1 species
AUUGAACGCUGGCGGCAGGCUUAACACAUGCAAGUCGAGCGAGAGGCGGACGGGUGAGUAAUGUCUGGGAAACUGCCUGAUGGAGGGGGAUAACUACUGGAAACGGUAGCUAAUACCGCAUACCAUCAGAUGUGCCCAGAUGGGAUUAGCUAGUAGGUGGGGUAAUGGAUCACAUAGGCGCCGAACCCCAGCUGGUCUGAGAGGAUGACCAGCCACACGUGAACGGAGACACGUUCCAGACUCCUACGGGAGGCAGCAGUGGGGAAUAUUGCACAAUGGGCGCAAGCCGGAUGCAGCCAUGCCGAGUGUGUGAAGAAGGCCUUCGGGUUGUAAAGCAAUUUCAGCGAGGAGGCGUUACUCGCAGAAGAAGCACCGGCUAACUCCGUGCCAGCAGCCGCGGUAAUUC